rnacentral:tRNA from 1 species
GAAUGUUUGACUUAGUGGUUAGAGUGCUUGGACAGUUUCCAAGAGACACGGGUUCAAAUACCGCUACGUCA